rnacentral:lncRNA from 12 species
UGCCUCCGCGCGCCGCCGCCCAGACACCCCGACGCAGGGGGCGGCGAGGGAAGGGCGCUCGGAGGCCUCAAGGGGCGGCGGACGGAGCGGUUCGGGGCGGGCCGGGCCGGGGCGGGCGGGUUGGGGGCAGGGGUCCGACACCCCGAGGCCUGGCGGCUGCGCUGCUCCUGUGCUGCGAGGCUCGGCCUCAGGGCCUGGGCGCCAGCACCCUAGCCGGGCCGGAGCCCCAAUCAUUAUAGGGUCCGUCUCGGAAAUUGCGGGCCGAGGGGAAUUCAAAUUCAGAGUCCGAUGGAAUCCACCACUUGGGAUCCUCACCCUCGACCUCUUCCAUUCUCACGGGGAGGCUUUGCCUGGACCGAGCUUUUCUAGCCUCAGGUCCUCCGCGUCGCCUCUGCCCAACGAGUUAGCAAACUCCGGGGUAAGAAUAGUGAUGCCCGUGGGCUUCUACGCGGGAAGACGAUUUACACCACCUUGCUGUGCCCUAAGGGGCUAACGGGGCAAAUGGAGACCACUUCAAGUAUUUCCUAUCAGACAACGAAACUCAAGGAAAUGACCUCAGACGGCACAAGAACUCAGGAGCUGGGCAGCGGUGGGUGAGGUUGUGCAGAAAUGAGCAAGCAUGGCCCCUUGCUGGAAACGGAAAGGGAGGAGACAGAGGGACUG